AGAACAGACCGGUAAUCCCAGACACCAGUGGAUUCACAUUCCCCUCCCGCUCCAACUUACCCCAGAUCUGUCCCGACCAAUGAGAGGACCCCAGAUCGGUCACCACCGAUGAGAUGACCCAAGAUCUGUCUCAAUUUGUCCUGACCAAUAAGCUGAGCCCAGAUCUCUCCCGACGAAUCCACCGCUCCGAUCCAAUCGUACAGUACGGAUGUUCAGAGACCCGGGUAAAAACCGGAAUAUACCUGCUCCCCACUGCCCCCCUUCACACCCGCACACACACACAUUAACCCACACUCUUACACUCCCAAACACACACAUAUACACACAUUAUCGUACACACAAUAUUGCACACACACACGGACGCACACUCACAAACACACACACACACACAUCCUUUGCCAGCCCUGCCAUCCAGGAUAAUUCAGUAGCAACACACUAAUAGUCCCUGUAAGAUGUCAAUCAUCCCUCUCUCUCUGUCUCUCUCUUUAGUCCUUUCUCCAAACCUCCCCCCUCCCUCUAGCCCUCUAUCCAAACCAUUCUUAAGAACAGAGAAUAGUAAAAAGUGUCUCGGAAAUUUGGGAUUAGUUUCUAUCUAAAAUAUUUCAAUAUCGCACAGGUGUGUGUAGUGGGAAACUGAGUCAUCGUGUUGAGAUACACAUACAGGGUUUUUAAAAGAUGAUUUUAUCUGUAUGUUUUUCUGUUGACGUUUGAUUUGAUUCUAAGCUGUUUCAGCCUUUCUUUGUGUUCUGACUUGUUUUGUUUCUUUGUUUGUUUCUUGAUUUUUCAUGACUCCUGUUACAAUUCCUGUUCUCCUCAACUUGCUAUGUGUGGGAUUUCAUUUUUUUUUUUAUUUGCUCAAAUGAAGAUUUACUUUUACAAAUGAAGAUUGUACAUUUGAGAUAGAUUUAUCGAUUGAUUGAUUGAUUGAUUGAUUGAUUGAUUGAUUGAUUGAUUGAUUGAUUGAUUGAUUGAUUGAUUGAUUGAUUGAUUGAUGGAUUGACCAAUCAGAGAAUAUCCUAGUUUGACGAGUACAUUUUCAUUGGCUAAGAAGUUUUUCCGGGUAAAGAGUUGAGGCCGCAUGGUGCAGAUGCUUUGUGAACACACUGUAUGGACUACCUGGUGCAGUGUUCUUCUUGGUACAUAUUAUAGGUAACAGAGCAGAAACUCAACAUUACAACUGAACCUGGAUUCCCCUCUAGUAACCAUUAAAUGUCAAAGUGAAUUGUCAUUGUUUGCAGGUGGUGUAUUUGUAUUAUUAUAAUAAGAAACGUAUGUGUUUAUUUAAAGCUAGUGUGAGUGUGUGUGUGUGUGUGUGCAUGUAUGGGCGCGCGUCUACAUGUGUGUCUGUAUGUGCGUGUGUGGUGUGUACGUCUCAGUGUGUAUGCAUCUGUGUGUUUGGUGGAAUAGAGAUUGUUAUUUUUGUUUGUUAAACAAUAGACCAUUUGAAAUUAAUUAAGUAUGCAGGAAAAAAAUCCAAAUCCAUAAAAAAAACGAUGGCACCCACAAUUUAUUGUGACUAGAUUAUCAUAUUUACAAUUAAAUGUUAAAUUACAAAUUACAAAAUUGCUUUCUCCUUUUAUGAAAACAUACGGAGCAUAACAGACUCACUUAUCACUCAGAUUGAGAUAAAAGGUGUCGGCCAUCUUGCAUUGUGGUAUAUGGGGGCAUAUUGACACGCUUUAUAAAUAACAUGCCCUCCCUCCACCUACUCAUCAUCACUGGAUGAACAUUCUCGUCCAACUAUAGCAAUAAUCAGCACGUCCUUUCCGUUAUUUCUGUAAAUACGCUGGGCUUCUUCACUCUUCUUCCUCCUUGAUUCAAUUUGUAAAGUAAAAAAUAGAGGAUCUAUAGGUUCCGGAGAAUAUUUCCAAGUAUCAAUAAUCAGCUACGGCUCUAUGAUCAAUACAUGGAGGUAUGGCAGGCGGUGUCUCCUGUCGAGAGUUGGACUGAGCUGUUUGUCAUGUUGGUGUGUGGUGUGUCAGCUUAUGCAUGAAUGUACAGGUGUGUGGUAGUACCGUGUUGAGGGUUUGAUGAUCAGACGAUGCCUAACUAUUAUGAAGGAGAACCACAGCUGUUUGAACGCUGGGGGCGUUAGCCACACAGGCUGACGAGGCUCACACAAACGAUCACUCUCCCCAUGUUAUGUUAACAAAUUGGUUACCUUUUGAGAGAGAGAGCGCUACAUUUUAUUGAUAAGGUUUUGUGAUCAGGUGUUGGUGGGGCUGAGGUCAUCGGGGAGAGCAAUGCAUCAUGGGCGAUAUCCCAGGUCCCUUUAGAUGCCUCUGAUUGGGGGAGUGUGUUGUUCUAGUAACCAUGAGAUCCACUAUUCCAGCCGUCCCUCUUACUCGAUCUUCAUCGUUUCAGGCCACUGCUUUUAGCUAUUUGAACUCCUUCUGUCGGAUAGUUAUAGGCUGACUUACUAUCACUUGCUUUUUCUAUCAUUCUUAUUUUUUUCAUCCAACCAAUCACGUUGGAGACCGUGUGAUCAUGUUUAUAACCCUCCAACCCCCAAAACCCACCAUCUGAUCUUCACCUCUUUAUCCAGCCGUCUCUCUCUCUCUCUCUCUCUCUCUCUCUCUCUCUCUCUCUCUCUCUCUCUCUCUCUCUCUCUCUCUCUCUCUCUCUCUCUCUCUCUCUCUCUCUCUCUCUCUCUCUCUCUCUCUCUCUCUCUCUCUCUUCUCCAUCUCUUCAUCAUUCAAACAUCUUGAUUAUCUGUUCAUCAUUCAAACAUGUUGAUUAGUGUC
ensembl:lncRNA